GACGUAGGGCGCGAGCGUUGUCCGGAUUUAUUGGGCGUAAAGCGCGCGCAGGCGGUCCUUUAAGUCUGAUGUGAAAGCCCACGGCUCAACCGUGGAGGGUCAUUGGAAACUGGGGGACUUGAGUACAGAAGAGAAGAGUGGAAUUCCACGUGUAGCGGUGAAAUGCGUAGAGAUGUGGAGGAACACCAGUGGCGAAGGCGACUCUUUGGUCUGUAACUGACGCUGAGGCGCGAAAGCGUGGGGAGCAAACAGG
rnacentral:rRNA from 1 species